GGGUUAGCAUAAGUGGUACCAUAAAAAUUUUUAAUCCAUAGUACGACAAUGCCAACUCAGU
rnacentral:pre_miRNA from 1 species